GCUGGGCUUGGUGGCAAGUGCCUGUAGUCCCAGCUAUUUGGGAGGCUGAGGCUGGAGGAUCUCACUUGAGUCUAGGAGUUCCGGGCUGUAGUGCGCCAAUGCCAGAUGUCCGCGCUAAGUUCAGCAUCAAUAUGGUGACCUCCUGGGAGCCGGGGACCACCAGGUUGCCUAAGGAGGGGUGAACCGGCCCAAGUCGGAAACGGAGCAGGUCAGAACUCCCGUGCUGAUCAGUAGUGGGAUCGCGCCUGUGAAUAGCCACUGCACUCCAGCCUGGGCAACAUAGCGAGACCCCGUCUCU
rnacentral:SRP_RNA from 1 species